UACGGGGGGAGCAAGCGUUGUUCGGAUUUACUGGGCGUAAAGGGCGCGUAGGCGGUCAGCACAAGUCAGUUGUGAAAUCUCCGGGCUUAACUCGGAAAGGUCAACUGAUACUGUGCGACUAGAGUGCAGAAGGGGCAACUGGAAUUCUCGGUGUAGCGGUGAAAUGCGUAGAUAUCGAGAGGAACACCUGCGGCGAAGGCGGGUUGCUGGGCUGACACUGACACUGAGAGACGAAAGCUAGGGGAGCAAAUGGG
rnacentral:rRNA from 1 species